GGGGGAUAUUGCACAAUGGGGGAAACCCUGAUGCAGCGACGUCGCGUGAGGGAAGACGGUUUUCGGAUUGUAAACCUCUGUCUUCGGGGAAGAAUAAAUGACGGUACCCGAGGAGGAAGCCACGGCUAACUACGUGCCAGCAGCCGCGGUAAUACGUAGGUGGCAAGCGUUGUCCGGAAUUACUGGGUGUAAAGGGAGCGUAGGCGGGAAGGCAAGUCAAGUGUCAAAUCUAUCGGCUCAACCGGUAGUCGCGCUUGAAACUGUUUUUCUUGAGUGGAGUAGAGGCAGGCGGAAUUCCUAGUGUAGCGGUGAAAUGCGUAGAUAUUAGGAGGAACACCAGUGGCGAAGGCGGCCUGCUGGGCUUUUACUGACGCUGAGGCUCGAAAGCGUGGGUAGCAAAC
rnacentral:rRNA from 1 species